rnacentral:rRNA from 1 species
UACGUAGGGGGCAAGCGUUGUCCGGAAUCAUUGGGCGUAAAGCGCGUGUAGGCGGUUCGAUAAGUCUGCUGUGAAAGUCCAGGGCUCAACCCUGGAAAGCCGGUGGAUACUGUCAGACUAGAGUGCGGAAGAGGCGAGUGGAAUUCCCGGUGUAGCGGUGAAAUGCGCAGAUAUCGGGAGGAACACCAAUUGCGAAGGCAGCUCGCUGGGACGUUACUGACGCUGAGACGGCGAAAGCGUGGGGAGCAAACAGGG